AAGCUCGUAGUUGAAUUUCGGGAUCAGACUGUCGGUCGUGCCUCGGUACGCACUGGCAUUAUUGGUUCCUACCUUCUGAAGAACCGCGAUGUCAUUAAUUUGGUGUCGCGGGGAAUCAGGACUGUUACUUUGAAAAAACUUAGAGUGUUUAAAGCAGGCUUACGCUUGAAUACAUUAGCAUGGAAUAAUGAAAUAGGACGUUUGAUUCUAUUUUGUUGGUUUCUAGGAUCGACGUAAUGAUUAAUAGGGAUG
rnacentral:rRNA from 1 species